CGCCUUCUGGUUCAUUGCGCUGGAACGUUGCUGCCAGCAGCAGUUGUUGGUGGAAGCGACCGGCCACAAGCCGGUGCAUGUUCCGGUCGAAAGCGCCC
rnacentral:tRNA from 1 species